CAUUUCUGGAAUCCAGAGACUUAUGGUUUGCUUGGAAACUCACGGGAAUGGUUUCAGGGAAAAACUCCAUCCUCAGUGCUAGCUCCAUGUGGAGUGAAAAUUUGAAAGAAAAUGGCCCCAAGGGAGUAGCACUAUUAGGAGGUGUGGCCUCGUUAGAGUAGGUGUGGCCUUGUUGGACAAAGUGUGUCAUUGUGGAGGUAGGCUUUGAGG
rnacentral:lncRNA from 1 species